CCAGCGCGGUUGAUUCUUGCAGGAUGAAGGACUUGAAUGAGAGUUGGAACUUGAAAUAUCCAAAUGAAAAAUACUGAAAUUUUGAUUAUAAACAAGAUGUGACUUCUUCCCAGCAGAUAAAUAUCAAUUUCAUCUUCCUUAAUUCAUAAUUCAUAGUAAAGAGAAUAAAUUCCCCUAAGAAACCCUAGAAACGCCAAUAGAGAACAAAUUCCCCAAUCUAUCAGCACAAUUGAAGUCGCUGCUGCUUUUAGGCCAGGGAAAAGUGCUUGAAGCCGAGUUGUGGGGUCUGUUUUUUUGGGUAGAAUUUGGUUGUUGAGAAAAAAGUAGAUGAUAUUGUUAUUGAGAUGGAUUCAGAGACUUCUGUGCUUAUUCAGAGUAAGAUUUGGAAUGCUUGUCAUCCUGAUGCUGGGCUGGUCAGUAGCUGUAAAAGGUUUAUGAAUUUGUUUCGAAGAAUCAAGCUUCAACAUAUUUACAGAAAGAGGAAUGAUGUAGCUGAUGAGUUGGCUACUUUGGAGUCACAAUUUGAAUCCGGGUUGUUGCUACUUGCUAUCUUGAGAAGAGUCCUGCCUGACUUUGGAUAUCUGUUGCUCAAUGAUUUACUGGGAGUUGUAAAGGCUCGUCUGAU
rnacentral:lncRNA from 1 species